rnacentral:rRNA from 1 species
AGAACGAACGCUGGCGGCAGGCCUCAAACAUGCAAGUCUAGGGGGGCGUAGCAAUACGUCACCGGCGGACGGGUGCGUAACACGUGGGAAUGUACUUAUUGGUUCGGAACAACUCAGGGAAACUUGAGCUAAUACCGAAUGUGCCCGUAAGGGGAAAGAUUUAUCGCCAAUAAAUCAGCCCGCGUCCGAUUAGCUAGUUGGUGGGGUAAAGGCUCACCAAGGCGACGAUCGGUAGCUGUUCUGAGAGGAAGAUCAGCCACACUGGGACUGAGACACGGCCCAGACUCCUACGGGAGGCAGCAGUUGGGAAUCUUGGACAUGGGGAAACCUGAUCCAGCCAUGCCGCGUGAGUGAUGAAGGCCUUAGGGUUGUAAAACUCUUUCGGCGGGGACGAUAAUGACGGUACCCGCAGAAGAAGCUCCGGCUAACUUCGUGCCAGCAGCCGC